ensembl:lncRNA
AAGUGUUUUACAAGCAUUUUGUUCUCUGUAACUGUUACUGUAGAUUUUUAGAAAUAUAUUUUAAUCUUAAAAGUGGACAUGAAAAGACACUGCAUCUCGUCUUAUAAGACAAUGCGAAAAGCUACAUGUGUGACAUGUACAUUCAAGUGCCUUUGUGACACUCCAGAUUUUAUUUAUAUUUUAUAUUUAAUCUUUAUUGAUACUUCAUCUCAUGUUUUGUAUGUUUAUACAUGUAAUAACUGUGUAUAAAGAAACUUGACAUCUUGUUAAAGGAUGCGUCAUUGUGCUUCUAUAAGCUUUUCUACAGGCUCCAUAUUUGAUGACAAACCGAAAAACAUGCUGUUAAACAAUAAAAAAAAAAAACACUCUUUGGACAUGACGAAAAAGCCACAGAAAGAAAAAAAAUGAGUACCAAACUAUAUUUAUUGUUUACAGUAGUAAAGGACAACAAAAAAAAAAAUGUACAUAUCAGUACAGAAGGAUGCCAACAUUUGGAAAUCUUUGAUGUCAAACGCUCUCUCCCCUUCAGCCAUAUGAAUUACAGUGGGAGGGCAAGAGAUGUUAAUAGAAAUCAGACCAGUCCUUGUUAGCGAUGACAGAUACAUCGCCUCAACAAUGCCUGAAAGGAUUCCCUUUCGUUUUGCUUCAAGACCUGGUCAUAGUUUUGGGAUUUAAAAAAAGGGCAAAAGUAAUGAAGAAGAAAAAGAUAUAUUGGUCUUUUAGAUCAUUCCUGUUUCCUCAACCAACACUCAAGAGGAAAACGAAAUGGUAAAUGGAUGUAUUUCUACAGACAUUUAAAAGUAUAAACACAGAACUAGUUGGUGUAAUCCUGCCCAUAUUUGCUAAUCGAGUACCAUCUUUGGGGUUUGGUCCAGAAAGGGUCACUGUAAAUUUUAUAAUGUAGUCAGUCUCUUCAUUUUAAAUUGAUCUCCACCAAGAUCCCGUCCCUACAGUGAGCUCGUACGAGAAGCGGCCCCAUUAAAAGGCAGAUGCAUACAACACUGGUUGAAAAUAUUUCUACAACACAUACAGGCAAAUAGAAUCUGAGUUGAAACAGGCCUACUUAAAGCUCUUAAGAACUAAAAAAGUGAAUGGGGAAAAAAAUUUUUUUUUGCUUCCUCACUAUUUAUUGGGCGGAUAUACUAUGGAGGGGGUGAACGGAUUCUGGGCUUUUGUUGAGUGAAUCUGCUCGGAGCAACAUAAAACCUUGCUUGGUGGCUGGUGUGGAUAUUCUGAACAACUACGCCAUCUGGCAGCCUUCUUGAGUUUGUUCCCACACCACAGUAGCUGUCUAACAAUUGCGCAUAUAAAUAUUACUGGAAACACAUUUGCAAUGCCCACUCUAGGAAAGCUAGAGAUGACAGAGGAGAGACAAAGAGAGAAAGAGAAGGGGAAACGAUGUGAAAGCAUCUGAAUGAAACAUCAUGAGCAAUAAAAUAGAUAAGUGUGGGGUCCAGGUGGUGUGAAGUUUUAGCAGGAGCCGCCAGUUUGCUGCUGAAAUACGUCAAUCGUGUCCUCGUCUUCCAUCUCCAACUAACAAAUGCAAAGUUACCAUAAGGUACAACAAAAAAUCCAUUAGUUACAGUAUUAUAAUCCAUUUUUCAUAUUAGUUAAUAAAAUGUUACAGUUUAUUGAUAGUUUGUGUUAACUUGGGA